rnacentral:rRNA from 1 species
AUUGAACGCUGGCGGCAGGCCUAACACAUGCAAGUCGAGCGAGCGGCGGACGGGAGAGUAAUGUAUGGGGACUGCCCGAUAGAGGGGGAUAACUACUGGAAACGGUGGCUAAUACCGCAUACUAUCGGAUAACCCAUAUGGGAUUGGCUAGUAGGUGGGGUAAAGGCUCACCUAGGCGACGACCUCUAGCUGGUCUGAGAGGAGGAUCGGCCACACUGGGACUGAGACACGUCCCAGACUCCUACGGGGGAAGCAGUGGGGAAGAUUGCAAAAUGGGCGCAAGCCUGAUGCAGACAUGCCGCGUGUAUGAGGAAGGCCUUAGGGUGGUAAAGUACUUUCAGCGGGGAGGCGUUAACCGCAGAAGAAGCACCGGCUAACUCCGUGCCAGCAGCCGCGGUAAUUC